ACACAGACGCGCAUGAAAUUUGGUGCCGUGACUCGGAUCGGGGGACCUCCCUUGGGAGGUCAAUCCCCUGUCCUCCUGCUCUUUGCUCCGUGAGAAAGAUCCACCUACCACCUCAGGUCCUCAGUCCAACCAGCCCAGGAAACAUCCCACCAAUUUCAAAUCCGACCCAUCUGACCUCUCCCCUCCUCGCCAGCCCAAGCUAAGUCCCAAUUCUUCCUCAGCCUCUGCUCCUGCAUCCUGUCAUUUUUUUAUCGCCUCCCCUCCUCACACCUGGUCCGGCUUACAGUUUCGUUCCGUGACUAGCCCUCCCCCUCCUGCCCAGCAAUUUACUCUUAAAAAGGUGGCUGGAGCCAAAGGCAUAGUCGAGGUUAAUGCUCCUUUUUCUUUAUCCCAAAUCAGAAGCGUUUAGGCUCUUUUUCAUCAAAUAUAAAAACCCAGCCCAGUUCAUGACUUGUUUGGCAGUAACCCUGAGACACUUUACAGCCCUAGACCCUAAAAAGUCAAAAGGCCGUCUUAUUCUCAAAAUAUAUUUUAUUACCCAAUCUGCUCCCGACAUUAAAUAAAACUCCAAAAAUUAAAUUCCGGCCCUCAAACCCCACAACAGGACUUAAUGAACCUCGCCUUCAAGGUGUACAAUAAUAGAAAAAAG
rnacentral:lncRNA from 10 species